rnacentral:rRNA from 1 species
GACGAACGCUGGCGGCGUGCUUAACACAUGCAAGUCGAACGGAAAGGCCCUGCUUUUGUGGGGUGCUCGAGUGGCGAACGGGUGAGUAACACGUGAGUAACCUGCCCUUGACUUUGGGAUAACUUCAGGAAACUGGGGCUAAUACCGGAUAGGAGCUCCUGCUGCAUGGUGGGGGUUGGAAAGUUUCGGUGGUUGGGGAUGGACUCGCGGCUUAUCAGCUUGUUGGUGGGGUAGUGGCUUACCAAGGCUUUGAGGGGUAGCCGGCCUGAGAGGGUGACCGGCCACGUUGGGACUGAGAUACGGCACAGACUCCUACGGGAGGGAGCGGUGGGGAAGAUUGCACAAUGGGCGGAAGCCUGAUGCAGCCAAGCCGCGUGCGGGAUGACGGCAAUCGGGUUGUAAACCGCUUUCGCCUGUGACGAAGCGUGAGUGACGGUAAUGGGUAAAGAAGCACCGGCUAACUACGUG